rnacentral:lncRNA from 1 species
AAAAUGCACAAAGCAAGGAAAGAAUGAAGCAAAAAAAGCAUGCAUUUACUGAAAAUAAAGUACCCUUCACAGGCUCCAGGACUCAAGAACCAAUUAGAGGCUUAAGUGAAACAACCAAUCAGAGGAUGAAUAAAAAUUUAAAUAGCCCUUCCACCCUUCCACCACUUCCACCACUUCCACCACUUUGUGAAGUCACAACAGGUACACCCUAUGCAAGCAUCUGAUUGGUUGUGGAAAGCAACCAAUCAGAGGCUAAAGUGAAGUUACAAAGUUACAUUUCUAUGCAGGCGACUUGGCCUGCGAUCCGUCUGAUUGGUUACAAAGUUACAUUCCUACGCAGAAGCAACCAGAGAUACUUUCAAUUUUCCAUGUGCCACGCAGAAAGAACUUGAAGAUCCAGGAAGCCUCUGCCUCCAUCCAGGAGCCGCUUCAUCCUCUACUCGGUGUAACUAUCUCUGAGAUUCCACAUCCUUUGAGAUUAAAAACACUUUACAUCUUCUGGGUCUGUUGACGGGUCCUUCCACCAAUCACAUCGCUGUGCUUCUGUGACAACUGAACACAACUGGAAGUGAAAAACAACUCCUCAUUCAAAGGGGUUUAACGUUCCUUGUAGAUUCUGGAUAUUGGGCCUUUGUCAGAUGCAUAGAUUGCAAAAAUUUUCUCCCACUCUGCCAAAAGAGGAGUACAUCUGAACAGCAAUAGAGCAGAGGAAGAAACCCUAAGUCAUGUUGUAGCCUAAUACCAUGGAGUAGCACAGACUUUGAAACCAGGCAGAACCAGAACUUGAACAGAUCUCUUCAGAACCGGGAAAACAUCUCCUUUUGUUGACAUCACAUGAAGGUUGAAGUCCGCUGUCAGGACCAUGUUUAAGGAUCUCAAUUGCCAUGUGGAUAAGCCUUACGGAAUGGAAAUGGAGUAAAAACUCCACUCGGGUAUCACCUGAAGCCCCUGCCUCCAAGAUCCAAAGUCAGUCUUUACAGUAAUAAAGCGAGAAAUAGUAAUAAAGCGAGAUCUUCAAGAAUUCUUAAAAGGAGUUUUGAGGAAUCAAGGAAACUACAAGGAGAAGCAACACUGUAAAUAAAUAUAUGGAAGUUGAAAAUGGAUCUUCAACAAGUGAUAAACAAUCCAGAAACACGGUACUAAA